CCUACGGGUGGCUGCAGUGGGGAAUAUUGCACAAUGGGCGCAAGCCUGAUGCAGCCAUGCCGCGUGUGUGAAGAAGGCCUUCGGGUUGUAAAGCACUUUCAGCGGGGGGGAAGGCGUUAAGGUUAAUAACCUUGGCGAUUGACGUUACCCGCAGAAGAAGCACCGGCUAACUCCGUGCCAGCAGCCGCGGUAAUACGGAGGGUGCAAGCGUUAAUCGGAAUUACUGGGCGUAAAGCGCACGCAGGCGGUCUGUCAAGUCGGAUGUGAAAUCCCCGGGCUCAACCUGGGAACUACAUUCGAAACUGGCAGGCUAGAGUCUUGUAGAGGGGGGUAGAAUUCCAGGUGGAGCGGUGAAAUGCGUAGAGAUCUGGAGGAAUACCGGUGGCGAAGGCGGCCACCUGGACAAAGACUGACGCUCAGGUGCGAAAGCGUGGGGAGCAAACAGGAUUAGAUACCCCAGUAGUC
rnacentral:rRNA from 1 species